rnacentral:rRNA from 1 species
AUUGAACGCUGGCGGCAUGCUUUACACAUGCAAGUCGAACGGCAGCGCGGGCUUCGGCCUGGCGGCGAGUGGCGAACGGGUGAGUAAUACAUCGGAACGUGCCCAGUAGUGGGGGAUAGCUCGGCGAAAGCCGGAUUAAUACCGCAUACGACCUGAGGGUGAAAGCGGGGGAUCUUCGGACCUCGCGGUAGUGGAGCGGCCGAUGGCGGAUUAGCUAGUUGGUGGGGUAAAGGCCUACCAAGGCGACGAUCUGUAGCUGGUCUGAGAGGACGACCAGCCACACUGGGACUGAGACACGGCCCAGACUCCUACGGGAGGCAGCAGUGGGGAAUUUUGGACAAUGGGCGAAAGCCUGAUCCAGCAAUGCCGCGUGUGUGAUGAAGGCCUUCGGGUUGUAAAGCACUUUUGGCGGGAACGAAAAGGACUGUGCCAAUACCACGGUUCGAUGACGGUACCCGCAGAAUAAGCACCGGCUAACUACGUG